UACAGAGGUCCCAAGCGUUGUUCGGAUUCACUGGGCGUAAAGGGUGCGUAGGUGGCGCCAUAAGUCAGGUGUGAAAUCUCGGGGCUUAACUCCGAAACUGCAUUUGAUACUGUGGUGCUUGAGGACUGGAGAGGAGACUGGAAUUCACGGUGUAGCAGUGAAAUGCGUAGAUAUCGUGAGGAAGACCAGUGGCGAAGGCGGGUCUCUGGACAUUUCCUGACGCUGAGGCACGAAAGCCAGGGGAGCAAACGGG
rnacentral:rRNA from 1 species